AACGAACGCUGGCGGCAUGCCUAACACAUGCAAGCCGAACGAGACCUUCGGGUCUAGUGGCGCAAGGGUGCGUAACGCGUGGGAACCUGCCCUUAGGUUCGGAAUAACUCCCCGAAAGGGGUGCUAAUACCGGAUAAUGUCUUCGGACCAAAGAUUUAUCGCCUUUGGAUGGGCCCGCGUUGGAUUAGCUAGUUGGUAGGGUAAAAGCCUACCAAGGCGACGAUCCAUAGCUGGUCUGAGAGGAUGAUCAGCCACACUGGGACUGAGACACGGCCCAGACUCCUACGGGAGGCAGCAGUGGGGAAUAUUGGACAAUGGGCGAAAGCCUGAUCCAGCAAUGCCGCGUGAGUGAUGAAGGCCUUAGGGUUGUAAAGCUCUUUUACCCGGGAUGAUAAUGACAGUACCGGGAGAAUAAGCUCCGGCUAACUCCGUG
rnacentral:rRNA from 1 species